ACUUGUUUGAGCUCGCCCUUACGGAUAGGGGAUAAAUCGCUCUUGUUUCAAACCGUUACUAAGAAAGUACAAGAUAGUGCGUCAGCACAUAAUUCAGGAAUCCAGACUAUGUUGGGACAUUUAAAUCCCAAAUUUUGAAUGCGCAUCUGCAGGUUUGUGGACAUCUUUCUAAAAACAUAAGACUGAUUGAUGACCCAGCGCAACAAACAACAUCGAGAAAAUGCCUGGAAAUUUGACGUGCCUACUGUUUUUCCUUUUUGCUAUAACCACUGCAACAGGUUGUUCAACUUAAGAACACGAGCGACGUCACGUCGUAGUCUUUUAAAGAAGGGACCAUCCUUGUUGUGAACAAAUAUAUAUGAAGCCUACUGAACAUCAUUUUAAUCGUUUAUUUAACAUUUAUAUUUGCAUUUAUUGUAUAAGAUUUUCAUUUGUAAUGAACAAUUUGCUAUAAGGAUUUAUGGUUUUAUCUUUCAGUUAUUUUUUGCAUUUGAUUUGCAUUAAAGUUUAGUUUUUG
rnacentral:misc_RNA from 1 species